UUUGACUUAUUGGUUGAAACUUCGAUAUUAGAAACCUUCGUUACCUCCACUAUUUAUAAAUCUUGUUCAAAUCAACACUUUCACGUUACCUGUCAAUCUUAUAUCUUUGAAAAUACUUGCCUUUGAUGCUAUUUUAGGAAUCGAUUGGUUAACUACUCAUCAUGCUUUUCGUAAGGUUGUUAGCUUUCAUAUUCCUAACCAACCUGUUAUGCGAAUUCAAGCAACCAAACCACUAAAGUCAAUCAUUGUCAUAUCAAGCCAUAAGUAAAGAGCCCCGGUCCUUUCGUUGUUGAUUUCCUUGUGUGGAAUGCACCGAAGCCAGACUUUCUGUAGGCAACGCUAUGAAUGACGAUGGCAAGUUGAUAGGUAUCA
rnacentral:lncRNA from 1 species